AUGGCCAAGUCCAAGGUCAUACAGCCAAGGGCAUCCGAUCAGGCAGGAUCCAGGUUUCCUGCUCCACCACUCUUUCUACAGCCCGUACCACCUGUUUCAUGCUGUGUCCCUUCACCAUCCAGCUGCACAUUUGCAAUCAGAAGCCGGAACUCUUGAGAGUGUGUAUGGAGCCAAAGAAGGGAGAGCAAUGGUUAGAAGCAAGGCACAGGUCAUACCUACAUUCAAGGAGAGGGGACUGUACAAAGGUUAAACUGCAGGAGAGAGACAACAGAUUUACAUCCCAGACACAUUCACGCUGGGCCAAGAGCAGCUGCCAUUGCAGAUUCGAGUCAUGUACAUUUCUCCCUCCUCCUUCCUGGAGUUGGAACAGAAGCUGGGGAGGUGAGAGUGCAGGAAGGACAUGGAUGAAGCAGGGAGGGACAUGCCUGUCUCACUCGCCUCUGGCUCUGCUGCAUCUAGGACCAGGUCAGCACAAAGCAGGAGCCUGAGAAAUAUUUAUUAAAGAAAUGGAAGUCAGGUGACAGAAGGUAGGAGGAGGGAGACCCCUCAAAGAGCUCCCCAUCCAUCCUGCUGAGAGGCACCUCCACCACUCAAUAAAACCCCUGCAUUCAUCCUUCAAGUUUGAGUGUGACCUGAUUCUUCUUGGACGCUGGACAAAGACCUAGGUACUGAAAGUGUCUAACACUUAAGUCACCCAUGGAUAGCAAGGCUAACAGAACACUGUAACAUGUGCCC